rnacentral:rRNA from 1 species
AGCAGCCGCGGUAAUUCCAGCUCCAAUAGCGUAUAUUAAAGUUGUUGCAGUUAAAAAGCUCGUAGUUGAAUUUCGGGAUCAAUAUAUCGGUCGUGCCCCUGUACGUACUGGUAUCAUUGAUUUCUCCUUUCUGACGAACAAUGAUGUCAUUAAUUUGGUGUUAUAGGGAGUUAGGACUGUUACUUUGAAAAAAUUAGAGUGUUUAAAGCAGGCUCACGCUUGAAUACAUUAGCAUGGAAUAAUGAAAUAGGACGUUUGAUUCUAUUUUGUUGGUUUCUAGGAUCGACGUAAUGAUUAAUAGGGAUAGUUGGGGGCAUUAGUAUUCAAUUGUCAGAGGUGAAAUUCUUGGAUUUAUUGAAGACUAACUACUGCGAAAGCAUUUGCCAAGGAUGUUUUCAUUAAUCAAGAACGAAAGUUAGGGGAUCGAAGACGAUCAGAUACCGUCGUAGUCUUAACCAUAAACUAUGCCGACUAGGGAUCGGAUGAUGUUAAUUUUUAAUGACUCAUUCGGCGUCCG